rnacentral:rRNA from 1 species
AUUGAACGCUGGCGGCAGGCCUAACACAUGCAAGUCGAGCGAGCGGCGGACGGGUGAGUAAUGUCUGGUAAACUGCCUGAUGGAGGGGGAUAACUACUGGAAACGGUAGCUACUACCGCAUACCAUCAGAUGUGCCCAGAUGGGAUUAGCUAGUAGGUGGGGUAACGGCUCCCCUAGUCGACGAGCCCUAGCUGGUCUGAGAGGAUGACCAGCAAAAAGGGAACUAAGACAAGGUCCAGACGCCUACGGGAGGCAGCAGGGAGGAAGAUGGCAGAAUGGGCGGAAGCCUGAUGUAGCCAUGCCGCGUGUGGGAAGAAGGCCUUCGGGUUGUAAAGCAGUUUCAGCGGGGAGGCGUUACCCGCAGAAGAAGCACCGGCUAACUCCGUGCCAGCAGCCGCGGUAAUAC